GGAGAGGUGGGUGAGUGGCUGAAACCAACAGUUUGCUAAACUGUCGUACCUAAAUACGGGUACCGGGGGUUCGAAUCCCCCUCUCUCCGCCA
rnacentral:tRNA from 1 species